rnacentral:misc_RNA from 1 species
GAUGAAGAACGUAGCGAAAUGCGAUAAGUAAUGUGAAUUGCAGAAUUCAGUGAAUCAUCGAAUCUUUGAACGCACAUUGCGCCCGCCAGUAUUCUGGCGGGCAUGCCUGUCCGAGCGUCAUUUCAACCCUCAAGCCCCCGGGCUUGGUGUUGGAGAUCGGCGAGCCCCCCGGGGCGCGCCGUCUCCCAAAUACAGUGGCGGUCCCGCCGCAGCUUCCAUCGCGUAGUAGCUAACACCUCGCGACUGGAGAGCGGCGCGGCCACGCCGUAAAACACCCAACUCUUCUGAAGUUGACCUCGAAUCAGGUAGGAAUACCCGCUGAACUUAAGCAUAUCAAUAAGCGGAGGA